UACAGAGGUCUCAAGCGUUGUUCGGAUUCAUUGGGCGUAAAGGGUGCGUAGGUGGCGGGGUAAGUCUGGUGUGAAAUCUCGGGGCUCAACCCCGAAACUGCACUGGAUACUGCCUUGCUCGAGUACUGGAGAGGAGAUUGGAAUUUACGGUGUAGCAGUGAAAUGCGUAGAUAUCGUAAGGAAGACCAGUGGCGAAGGCGAAUCUCUGGACAGUUACUGACACUGAGGCACGAAAGCUAGGGGAGCAAACAGG
rnacentral:rRNA from 1 species